UACGGAGGGUGCAAGCGUUGCUCGGAAUUAUUGGGCGUAAAGGGUAGGUAGGUGGUCUCAUUUGUCUGGGGUGAAAGCCUUGGGCUUAACCCAAGAAGUGCCCCGGAAACGGUGAGACUAGAGUGCUGGAGAGGUUCGUGGAAUUCCCGGUGUAGAGGUGAAAUUCGUAGAUAUCGGGAGGAACACCGGUGGCGAAGGCGGCGACCUGGGUAGAUACUGACGCUGAGGUGCGAAAGCGUGGGGAGCAAACAGG
rnacentral:rRNA from 1 species